rnacentral:lncRNA from 1 species
UUGCACAUAUAGAAAUAAGAAAACUGAGAAAAAGAAAUGUGGUUAUAUCAGGAGAGAUAUCUUGGACUACCCAUUUGCUUUGCAUGGUGGCGAUAGCAAGAUCGUACAAUAAAAAAUAUAAAUAAAUAUUGGUGAUUCCCAAAAAUUAUACAAUGUAGAAUCAUUACGAAAAUAAACAUAAUAGGCAUCUCAGGUUGUAGAAUCGAUGGCAAAUUGUUGUGUUGGAAUAUGUUGCUAGCUUACAAACAUAAAAUAAAAAGAGGAGCCAGUUCUUGUGACAAAUUAGAAGUUUGUCCUUGAAGAACCAAAUAAAAAAUUUAGUAGCCUUUGUGAAAUUUUUCACGCACCGCCGCUUCACUUGCUUCCCUUCAAACUUGGUCGUACACCUGCAGAUAAAUAACCAUAGAAUACUCAACUGAAAAUAAUUGCUAAUGGAAUCAAAAUAGAAAUAAUAAUAAGCCACAAAAUAAUUAAGGGAAAGAUAAAUAGAACACACCUAGAGUUGUUGAAUUGGUACUAUAAGGUGGGAGAUUUGGUAGUGCUCACUAUUGUAAGGAAAAUGUUGGCCCAAAUAAAUUAGAUCAUACCAUUUUCAGCAAAAAGAUUUACGCUGCGUUUGGAUGUCUGUAUCGGAGGCCUCCGUAUUGAAUUAGUUUCAAUUCCAAUUCGGUGAGGAAACUGUAAUGGACACGAAUACGAAUUCAUUUGUUUGGAUGCUCAUGGAAUUGGCUCAUGGAAUCUCAAGGAGGUUUCAAUACCAAAUCAUGUUUGGAUGGCAAACUAUGGAAUUGCAUCUUCUUUGCAUCAAAUCAAAAUUUAUACAAUGUGUGAGUAUAAUUGAAUGAUUAUGUAGCAGUAAAAUUAACAAAUAUUUUUAGAAAUGCAUGUGACACCCGUUUGGAUGGCAAACUAUGAAAUAUUUUAGAAAUUACUAACAAUAAUAAGUGCUACAACAACAACUUUUCAAAAUAAAGUGCUCUGAUGUACCGUGCUUCAAAAAUCCAAACUUGGGCCUUUUUGUGUAAUUAUAGAUCCAACUGGUAAACCUCCCCGACAACAAAAUCUACUUAUCUAAGUACUCUAGCAUUCCUCAUAGGGCCUGGAACUUCAUCGAUCUUGUGUAACUAAUAUUUGGCCUGGGCAGAUUACAAGUAAGUAACUAUUGUACUUAUCAGAUAAAUUUACAAGAGUUACACUGCAUCAACAGUAGAAUUUACAAGAUUCAGAAACUUCAAAGCAAAGCCAGGGAAGAACAAAGGGUGGACGAGGGGGAUCCGGCAGCUGACCACAAAGAGGAUAUGGGGAACCGGCAGCACAGGAGGAGGGGUCCGGUGGGAGGCACGCCGGAGCACGGGAAGAGGAGGAGGAGCGGCGGCGGACGGGGAGUGACAGGACAUGGCGGCCAUGGGCAGGGGAGAUGCGGCAACCCUCUGUUCAUGGGGUGGCAGAGGAGAUGGCGAGGGGAUGAGGAGAAGGUUCGGCGGAGGGAUUGAGGAGGAGUAAUGGUGACGGGGAUGAGAAGGAGGGCCAACAAGGGAGGUUACCUGGCGGCGCCGUCGGGGUGUUCCUCGGCGUCGCCUCCUCUAGGCGCGCGGGGUGGGGACGGCUGCUUCGGUCAAAGCGGGGGAUAAAAGACGGG